GGCCGGUCUCGGCAGCCUCUGGGGUCAACUCAAUUGGAGAAACGGUAACUCCAAGAAUUCUACGGGUUCAGCAGAUGGCGGCGGCCACUUCCGCAAAACUAAAAUAAAAUUACGGUCGGGAGCGAAAGCAAUAAAGCACAAAUCGGCGAAUGCGGUGGAAAGCAAAUUCAUAAUUUCGGUACCUACAAAACUUGACGGUGAAAAAUGCAAAACCAGAAAAGUACAAGCAGUACAAAUUUACAGUAAUUAGAAAUGGCAAAAGAUUAAACUACGGUACGUUUUGGCAAAAAUGUACUCAAUAAAUUAAGUUGCUUACCAAAAGAAUAAAAAAUGACGGCAAAAUGACGGUCAUUACAAACAGCAAAAGAUGCCCACAAAAUUCAGUAUUUACCUUAUAAGGGGAUCUGAAUUUUAGAGAAGUGGAAUAGGGAAUUUCCGCCGUAUUCGGUACUAAAGCGGUGCAAAUUAGUUGGGUUUUUAAAUAAUUACUCGGCCUGUAAUUGUCGGAAAAAUAUAAGAUGGACAUCGGCAUCCCCCGUCUUUUUAGGGCGCUCAUUUUGAGAUAACUUUAAACGCCGCCUGCCGGAUUUUUCUACAACUAAUUAAAACGGCAUUCAUGUAUUCAUGCUUACUCAAUUAAGCCGCAUUCAAACUUCAAUAAUUACUCAUUAAUCCAAUCAGUACCUAGUCUAAUUGGAAUUUUCCGGCGCAACAACUGUUGGCGUUAUCUACGCCCCGGCAUGUCUGUAAACCUGAUAACGUGUAAGCAACUCGAUUUGGGAUAAAGUACGUACCUACCUUUUAUUGUCGCCUAUUUGAAAAAAUCAAUUCGCCCUACACUUUAUCCUAAGGGACAGUUACAUGAAAAUGUGCAUAGCGUAAUCAAAUUGGCCCUUCCAUAUGCAAAUAAAAAUAAUGUUUGUAUAUACCCACUAGUUUCCGCAAUAAUCGACCGUCUCAACACAAAAUGACUACCCUGUAUACUGAGUACAGAAUCGGAUAUAUAAUAAUAUUGCAUAUUUUCCUCAAUAUGCUAUUUACGUUAUCAGUUCUAAAGGAAGCGUGAUUGAAACGGGUAGUCCCUUUCUCCAUAAAAAGUGUUAAUGGGUAUGUAACGAAAAACGCCGGGCAUGUGUGUGGAUUACCUAUCGGUCGAAAGGAGUUCCCCUGGUUAAAUAUCCGUAGCCCAUACAUGUGUAUAAAAUCCAAUGCAUCCGAUCCAAACCCAUCAGUUUUUUCUUUCAUCUUGUGCAAACAACGAAGUGACAAACGCUCAACCUUUUGUUUAAUAUGAAAUUCUCCGUUGUUUUUGUAUUAGUACUGGUGGUUAUGUCCGCAUUUGUAAACAAUGCAGAAGCCAAAUGGAAGGGAUGGAAAAAAAUUGAAGAAGCUGGGAAAAGGGUAUUUAACGCAGCAGAAAAGGUUUUACCUGUCGCCCAGGGCUACGUUGGAGUCGCGGCAGCCGUAGG